UUGAUGUAGCAUUACAUGUUCUGCUUGCUGCAUUUUUGGGAGAAGUGCAUGCAGAUACUCAAGUGACUCACAGACAUGCAACAGCUCAGAAGGCCAUCCUGUUUGUCUUUCAGUGAGAAGGAAAAGAUCCAACUCCAUCAUACUCCUAAGAAAAAGCAUCUUCUGCUGAAGGCAUCAUGGGAGACCGGGAAGAGGAUUGGGAUGAAGCAAAACUCACGAAGCCCACUGUGAACACCUCAUGCCUUCCUUAAAAUCCCAUUCAGAGGCUGCACCGCUCUGUCUCAUCACUGUCCCCGACCUGCAGGCUCAGAACAGCCCCUCUGUGGCCCCCAACCCCAACCUAAUCCCAAGCAACUCAGCCCCAGCCCUCAGCAGCCCGCUCCACUCAGCCAGGAAUGCCAGUGGUUGGUGGGCCCUUGGAGGGCCCAACUCAUCACAUGUGGCAACAGCCAAGGAAGUGAGCCCUGGUCCUCCCUGCACAUUGGAAAUUAGGAGGGGGGAAAUUAUUGGGUCCAAAUUAAGUCUUGGAUUAAUGAAACGAAAUGUUUGAAAAGUACGGAAAUUA
rnacentral:lncRNA from 1 species